rnacentral:rRNA from 1 species
CCUACGGGAGGCAGCAGUGGGGAAUAUUGCACAAUGGGCGCAAGCCUGAUGCAGCGACGCCGCGUGAGGGAUGAAGGCCUUCGGGUUGUAAACCUCUUUCAGUAGGGAAGAAGCGUAAGUGACGGUACCUGCAGAAGAAGCGCCGGCUAACUACGUGCCAGCAGCCGCGGUAAUACGUAGGGCGCAAGCGUUAUCCGGAGUUAUUGGGCGUAAAGAGCUCGUAGGCGGUUUGUCGCGUCUGCCGUGAAAGUCCGGGGCUUAACUCCGGAUCUGCGGUGGGUACGGGCAGACUUGAGUGAUGUAGGGGAGACUGGAAUUCCUGGUGUAGCGGUGAAAUGCGCAGAUAUCAGGAGGAACACCGAUGGCGAAGGCAGGUCUCUGGGCAUUAACUGACGCUGAGGAGCGAAAGCAUGGGGAGCGAACAGGAUUAGAUACCCUGGUAGUCCAUGCCGUAAACGUUGGGCACUAGGUGUGGGGGACAUUCCACGUUUUCCGCGCCGCAGCUAACGCAUUAAGUGCCCCGCCUGGGGAGUACGGCCGCAAGGCUAAAACUCAAAUGAAUUGACGGGG